rnacentral:tRNA from 1 species
UCGCCACCCGGCCGGCGGCCGGGGUCGCCGCGGCGCUGGAGCCGCUGCUGCCGCUGGUGCUCGUCGGGUUCGUCGCCCAGGUGCUGUUC